rnacentral:rRNA from 1 species
CUCGUAGUUGAAUUUCGGGACCAUCAUGUCGGUCGUGCCUCGGUACGUACUGGUAUUGUUGGUUUCUCCCUUCUGACGAACCAUGAUGUCAUUUAUUUGGUGUUGUGGGGAAUCAGGACUGUUACUUUGAAAAAAUUAGAGUGUUUAAAGCAGGCUCACGCUUGAAUACAUUAGCAUGGAAUAAUGAAAUAGGACGUUUGAUUCUAUUUUGUUGGUUUCUAGGAUCGACGUAAUGAUUAAUAGGGAUAUUGGGGGCAUUAGUAUUCAAUUGUCAGAGGUGAAAUUCUUGGAUUUAUUGAAGACUAACUACUGCGAAAGCAUUUGCCAAGGAUGUUUUCAUUAAUCAAGAACGAAAGUUAGGGGAUCGAAGACGAUCAGAUACCGUCGUAGUCUUAACCAUAAACUAUGCCGACUAGGGAUCGGAUGAUGUUAAUUUUUUAAUGACUCAUUCGGCGCCUUACG